CUGAAACUUGUUAAAUGGCCCAGG
rnacentral:piRNA from 1 species